rnacentral:tRNA from 1 species
GGGGACGUAGCUCAGUUGGUAGAGCACUGGAUUGUGGUUCCAGGCGUCAAGGGUUCGAGCCCCUUCGUCCCUUCCA